rnacentral:sRNA from 1 species
AACUAGCCCUGAUUGAAGCAAGUAUCCUUUUUAUUGUGCUUUUAUAAUUUUCUAUUGUAAGUUAGAUGUUCUGCACAAUGAAAAGAUACUGCGAAAAGCGGGAGGAAUA